UGCAAGUCGAGCGGACAGAUGGGAGCUUGCUCCCUGAUGUUAGCGGCGGACGGGUGAGUAACACGUGGGUAACCUGCCUGUAAGACUGGGAUAACUCCGGGAAACCGGGGCUAAUACCGGAUGGUUGUUUGAACCGCAUGGUUCAAACAUAAAAGGUGGCUUCGGCUACCACUUACAGAUGGACCCGCGGCGCAUUAGCUAGUUGGUGAGGUAAUGGCUCACCAAGGCAACGAUGCGUAGCCGACCUGAGAGGGUGAUCGGCCACACUGGGACUGAGACACGGCCCAGACUCCUACGGGAGGCAGCAGUAGGGAAUCUUCCGCAAUGGACGAAAGUCUGACGGAGCAACGCCGCGUGAGUGAUGAAGGUUUUCGGAUCGUAAAGCUCUGUUGUUAGGGAAGAACAAGUACCGUUCGAAUAGGGCGGUACCUUGACGGUACCUAACCAGAAAGCCACGGCUAACUACGUGCCAGCAGCCGCGGUAAUACGUAGGUGGCAAGCGUUGUCCGGAAUUAUUGGGCGUAAAGGGCUCGCAGGCGGUUUCUUAAGUCUGAUGUGAAAGCCCCCGGCUCAACCGGGGAGGGUCAUUGGAAACUGGGGAACUUGAGUGCAGAAGAGGAGAGUGGAAUUCCACGUGUAGCGGUGAAAUGCGUAGAGAUGUGGAGGAACACCAGUGGCGAAGGCGACUCUCUGGUCUGUAACUGACGCUGAGGAGCGAAAGCGUGGGGAGCGAACAGGAUUAGAUACCCUGGUAGUCCACGCCGUAAACGAUGAGUGCUAAGUGUUAGGGGGUUUCCGCCCCUUAGUGCUGCAGCUAACGCAUUAAGCACUCCGCCUGGGGAGUACGGUCGCAAGACUGAA
rnacentral:rRNA from 1 species